rnacentral:rRNA from 1 species
UACGAGGGGGGCGAGCGUUGUUCGGAAUUAUUGGGCGUAAAGGGUGCGUAGGCGGUUCCGCAAGUCCUGUGUGAAAUCUUCGGGCUCAACUCGAAGUCUGCACGGGAAACUGCGGGGCUUGAGUGUGGGAGAGGUGAGUGGAAUUCCCGGUGUAGCGGUGAAAUUCGUAGAUAUUGGGAAGAACACCGGUGGCGAAGGCGGCUCACUGGCUCGUAACUGACGCUCAGGCGCGACAGCGUGGGGAUCAAACAGG